rnacentral:rRNA from 1 species
AGGGCACCACCAGGAGUGGAGCCUGCGGCUUAAUUUGACUCAACACGGGAAAACUUACCUGGUCAGGACACUGGAAGGAUUGACAGAUUGAGAGCUCUUUCUUGAUUCAGUGGGUGGUGGUGCAUGGCCGUUCUUAGUUGGUGGAGCGAUUUGUCUGGUUAAUUCCGAUAACGAACGAGACUCUAGCCUACUAAAUAGACUGCUCAACUUUAUAGCUGCAUCACCUUGCAGUGGCUUCGGUUGCUGUAAGGCUGUGGUGACGUUGGCAGUGCUUCUUAGAGGGACAGGCGGCGGUUCAGCCGCACGAAACAGAGCAAUAACAGGUCUGUGAUGCCCUUAGAUGUCCGGGGCCGCACGCGCGCUACACUGAAGGAAUCAACGUGCUUUUCUACCUUGGCCGGAAGGCCUGGGGAAUCCGAUGAAGCUCCUUCGUGAUUGGGAUUGAGCUUUGUAACUAUCGCUCAUGAACGAGGAAUUCCCAGUAAGCGCGAGUCAUAAGCUCGCGUUGAUUACGUCCCU